GUGGCUGUGUAAGGCGGACGCGAGGCGGCGCUGCGUCUCUUCCGGCCGCUGGGCCUCCCGGCCCCGAGCUCCCUCGCCGCGGGCGCUCCGUCGGCUCCCAGUCCCCCGCCCGGCCCCGGAGCGUAGGAUGCAGUGCCCCGGCGCCCAGUACCUGGCUUCUGCAGAGAGAACCCCCCGGCAAAGAGAGUGGAGACCUCAGCUUUAUAGGAAAUGCACAGAUACGACAUGGCUAUUCCUGUUCUUUCUCUUCUGGACUGGUUUGAUGUUCAUCACGGGCUACUCGGUGGCGGCGGGCGCCACAGGAAGACUUCUCUUUGGCUCUGACAGCUUUGGCAACGUGUGUGGCCAGAAGAACUCCCCAGUGGAAGGGGCUCCUCUUUCAGGGCAGGACAUGACCCUAAAAAAACACGUGUUCUUUAUGAACUCCUGCCACUUGGAAGUCAAGGACGUGAGGCUCAGCUCCACUGUCCUCUGCGUGGCCAGCUGUCCUGGAGAGCAGCUUGAUACCCUGGAAGAGGUCCAGCUGUUUGCAGACAACAAUGGGUCCUUCCUGUGUGUUUAUAGUUUGAAUUCCAUCAACUACACCCAGAAUCCAAAUGCAGACUCACUGUGCCCCAGGCUGCCAGUUCCUCCAAGCAAGUCUUUCCCCUUGUUUAACCGAUGCGUCCCUCAAACACCUGAGUGCUACUCCUUGUUUGCAUCUGUUUUGAUAAAUGAUGUCGACAUCCUCCAUCGAAUUCUGAGUGGAAUAAUGUCAGGAAGAGACACAAUUCUCGGCCUGUGUAUCUUUGCAUUAGCCUUGUCUUUAGCCAUGAUGGUCACCUUCCGAUUCAUCACCACCCUUCUGGUUCACAUUUUCAUAGCACUGAUUAUCGUGGGACUGUUGUUUGUCUGCGGUGUCUUAUGGUGGCUGUAUUACGACUAUACCCAUGACCUCAGCAUAGAACUGGACACAGAAAGGGAAAAUAUGAAGUGUUUGCUGGGGUUUGCUCUUGUAUCUACAGUAAUCAUGGUAGUUCUGCUCGGCUUGAUUUUUGUCCUCAGAAAGAGAAUAAAACUGACCGUUGAACUUUUCCAAGUCAUAAAUAAGGCCAUCAGCAGCUCUCCUUUCCUGCUGUUGCAACCACUGUGGACUUUUGCCAUCCUCAUUUCCUUCUGGGUCUUCUGGAUGGCUGUGCUGCUGAGCCUGGGGACCGCAGGAGCUGCACGGGUUAUUGAAGGUGGCCAAGUGGAAUAUCAGCCUCUCGUAGGCAUUCGGUACAUGUGGUGGUACCAUUUAAUUGGCCUCAUUUGGACCAGCGAAUUCAUCCUCGCAUGCCAGCACAUCAUGGUAGCCGGGGCACUGGUCACUUGCUAUUUCAACAGAAAUAAAAAUGACCCUCCUGAUCGUCCAAUCCUUUGGUCUCUUUCCAUUCUUUUCCGCUACCAUCAAGGAACAGCCAUAAAAGGGUCAUUUUUAAUCACUGUGACAAGGAUUCCAAGAACCAUUCUCAUGUACAUUUCCAGCGCUCUGGAGGGCAAGCAGCGUGGUCCGUGGUCCAGAUGUGUGUGCAGACACUGCUUCUGCUGUUCCUGGUGUCUGGACAAAUGCCUGCGUCAGUUCAACCAGAAUGCAUACACCACAACUGCCAUUAAUGGAACAGAUUUUUGCACAUCAGCACAAGGUGCACUCCAACUCUUGUCCAAGAAGUCAAGUCAUUUAACAUCUGUUCAAUGCUUUGGAGACUUCAUCAUUUUUCUAGGAAAGGUUUUGGUGGUAUGUUUCACUGUUUUUGGAGGACUGAUGGCAUUUAACUACAACCGUGCACUCCAGGUGUGGGCGAUCCCUCUGCUGCUCGUUGCUUUUUUUGCCUACUUUGUAGCCCAGAGUUUUUUAUCCGUGUUUGAAACUGUGCUGGAUGCCCUCUUUCUGUGUUUUGCUGUUGACCUGGAAACAAAUGAUGGAUCGUCAGAAAAACCCUACUUUAUGGACCAAGAGUUUCUGAGUUUUGUAAAAAGGAUCAACAGAGUGAAUGCGGUGAGGGCACAGGGUGCUGAGCACGCAUCGAGGAACGAGGAGGGAGCGGAACUCCAGCCCGUGGUGUGAUAGGUGCCUGUUGGUUAGUUGUCCCUUCUAAGAGCCAUUCACAGAAUAAAUGGUAGAAAAGCCGGCUGUUCUAACCGCCAACAAAAGCCAUGAGCCACACACCAUAUUUGUAUUGCUGGAGAAAAGGUCCUCUGAUUCUUUUGCUUUCUCAGCAAAACCUACUUUCCUGAAGGAGUAUACUCGCUAAAUACACCAUACAAAAACACCCUCCUUUGAACUUAGUUAAUAAAAAUGAGGUAAGUGCUCAUUUAAAUACCUUCUGUACUCUUUGUGGCAAAUAUGAAAAGACACUGCUUACCUGGCUGGCUCCUUUGUUGGUGCCCAUCUGCAGACUAAUUGUGGUCUGGUCAAAAGGUUUAUCGGUUUGCAUUUUGGGAUCAUAAAGAUGCCGCCUGGUCCCAUAGGCUGUCAUACCCGCCUGGCUGGCGCAUUUGUUGGUUCCCAUCUUUUAAGUUAAAAAUUAAAUGAGCACUGGUUAUCUGAAGUCUACAACAUCUGUGAUAAGCAAAACUUUCUGUUCUACUAAAAAGAUCAAGGGGUAAGACAGACAGGUCCCUUUUUGUGCUGAGGCCAGCAAGAUACAAAAUCUCUAUGCUCUUGCAAAUUUCAAGGUGCUCACUUUAAAAAGAAAAUUUCCAUCAAGUUUUUAGAGGGCAGAAUUAUGGAUAAUUAAUUUCCUCUGCUCCUCUCUACUGUCUACAGCAGAGAGAAGCAAGUCAGGGGGCACCUGCUUCAGCCAUAUAAAGAGACAGACUCACUCUCAGGCUGGGCACUAAGCUUCUCUACUUCAGAUGUUUACAGAAUGCCAGGUGUCUUCUCUGGCAGGUCAACAAGGGUUUCUUUCUCAAAAUCACCAACAUCUUUGUGGGGAAAGAGGCACACAGAAGGAAUAAGGAACAUAAAGUUCAGAGGAACAAUAAUUCUCUUCUCCACUGAGAAUAUGGCUUUAAGACUGACUGGUACCCCCAGUUCUACUGGCUGGGGACACAUUUCUGUUGGUCUUUUUCCUUAAAAGGGAGGGAAAAAAAUCAUUGCAAUCCUACCACCCAGAUAUUAGCUGUAAACAUCUGUGCAUCUCCUUCUAGGUUUUUUAUCUUCUGUAUGUGUGUAUGUAUCAAGCACGUGCAUACAAAAGCCAUGCCUACAAAUAUAUGCAUGUGCGUCUUUAAAAUUGUGAUCCCACGGACCGCAGUAUUUUAUAACCUGGUUUGUUUUCCUUCAUCUUGGAAUUCUUGUCCAUCAUUGUUACCUUACUCUAGAGUUUCUUUUGUUGUUAUAAUUUAACCAAAUGACUACUGUUUGGAAUUUUAGGUUUCCAGUUUCUUAACCAGAUACAAUUCCGUACUGUGCAAAUUUAAAUCCACCUCACAUAGAUUCAGUCAACAGAGGGGCAGGUAUCAGAUACAGUAAAGACCUUAGCAUAUUAGAUAGACAUUGAGCAGUGGUGAUUUUAAGGGGGGGUUGGGGAAAAAAAAAAAAAAAACACAAACCUGAACUAAAUAUUUCUAAUAGUGCUUGGCUACUGUACCGUGCAAAUAAAUGCCUUGGGCAUUUAAGGCUUUGUAAAAUGGCCUCAUUUGGUCAAUAAUGUUUAGGAAUUUGUAAAGUAUGUUUUCUUAAAAAAUAAAGACAACGUAAUUGGGGAGAAAAUCAUUUCCUAGAGAAACACUUGUCGUGCCUGAUGGCAUGCCGGAGGUUUCCAGAGGUUUCUUCUAAAACCAUUAUCACUAUCUCAUGGGCUUUAAAUGGACAUAAAUUAUAUAAACUACAUAUCCAUCCCCAAAACCAACAUAAAGGUGUACCUUAUCCUUCCCUUACUCAUGAGAGACACCCUCUGCGCAUAGUAAGAAUUAAUGAUACUAAAGAAGUGAAAGCAGUAAACACAUAACUUACCUGCAAACCAAUUACACUUUGGCCAGCUUUUAAUUUUCCUUCAUCAAAACGUCUUGUUUGUUUUUCGGCAUACUUGACUCCAAUGUCAAUGGUUGUAUGGAAUCCUUUUGUUUUAGCCUAGACAGAAAUUCACAUACUAACUAAAAAGGAAGACUAAAAUGGAGAUUCUGCCAACGGUUUUUUCACAGAAGGAAUAAGAAAUGAUACCGUCCAGAGAUAAAGGCUUAAUUACAUUAGGUAAUAAAUACUCAAACUAGCGGUGAAAAACCUACUUAAAGCCAUGCAGUAAUAUAUGUAGCUCUCCAAAAUGUAUUCUGAUUAAGCUCUCUUAUGAGGCAGCUGAUGUCAGCAGCCUUUCCACAGAGCUAAUCAUUAUGAAGGAGUCUGUAUUCCCAUAGGAGAUAAAAGACUCACUUCAUCAUCAACAUGGUAGGACUUUUAAAUUCAGCCAUUAAAGACAUAUACGUACCAGACCUGCCAGGGCCACCAGCGUAGUCUGAACUUGGGUCAUGUUUCCAUUCUCAAAAAGAUCAUUUGCUUCAAAUAUGUCAUGCGGCUUCAUGCCAUAAGCCUGAAUAGCUUUAAUAAAGUUGCCAAUAUUCUCCAACUAUAAAGGAAUAUAAAGAGUCAUAUAACUUGGGGAGCCAAAUACGGACAUUCAAGUUAUCUAAGAAUUCUAAAUCUUCCUGACUAGUUGUGAGAUGCCAGGCAAAAGCUACAUGGCAAGGUUUCUUGGCCAGAUACAUACUAAGCACAGCUUUCUCUGGAAAAGGAAAGCGUGAAGAGUAUUUCAUAGUGGGUUAAUAUUUUUAUACAUUCAUUUUUUUUUUUCAGUUCUUUGAAGGCAAGGUCGUCCUUCCAAUGUUUUUAAGGAUACUGUGAUACUGUGAUUAUGUCAGAGCUAUCCAGGGCUAAAAUUCUGUCAAACAGUACAUGAUUACUCACAUUAAUAAUUUAUGUUUUAAUUUAAACAUAAAUCUGUGGUUAUUAAA